AAGCGGUGGAGCAUGUGUUUAAUUCGAAGCAACGCGAAGAACCUUACCAGGUCUUGACAUCCCGAUGCUAUUUCUAGAGAUAGAAAGUUACUUCGGUACAUCGGUGACAGGUGGUGCAUGGUUGUCGUCAGCUCGUGUCGUGAGAUGUUGGGUUAAGUCCCGCAACGAGCGCAACCCCUAUUGUUAGUUGCCAUCAUUCAGUUGGGCACUCUAGCGAGACUGCCGGUAAUAAACCGGAGGAAGUGGGGAUGACGUCAAAUCAUCAUGCCCCUUAUGACCUGGGCUACACACGUGCUACAAUGGUUGGUACAACGAGUUGCGAGUCGGUGACGGCGAGCUAAUCCCUUAAAGCCAAUCUCAGUUCGGAUUGUAGGCUGCAACUCGCCUACAUGAAGUCGGAAUCGCUAGUAAUCGCGGAUCAGCACGCCGCGGUGAAUACGUUCCCGGGCCUU
rnacentral:rRNA from 1 species